AAUCUGAUAUAUAUAUGUAGGGAAGAUCUUUGCUGAAAAGUCUUCUUACGAGCCCGAAUCCCGAUCUUCUACAGUUGCAGCAUCAGGGAAAGUCCUUGUUCCUGGCAGCCAGAGUGGUAGCUCCUCAUCCUCAACUGAACAAUUGGAUGUUGCUGAUACAGUUCCAGAAAAUUCCCCGGUAUGUUACGUGCUACAGGUAUCAAUUAUCGGGAGUGGGCUCCUGGUGCCAAGAUCGAGGAGCCUUCUAAAAGAAAGGAGAAUCCCUUCGGCAACACAUAAUUGAUGGAUGUAUGGCAGAACAUUUUUCUGCCAAAGCUGCAAAUUCUGACGUUUUGUGUAAACUGUUUCCUUCAUCAAAUCCAACUGAAGGUAUAAAAGUCAGUAUCACAACAGUAUGUGAGGAAUGUAACCACCUUAAAUACCUCUCUAAUCUUCUUCAAGGCUCCAUAUUUAUAUAUAUACA